UACAGAGGGUGCGAGCGUUGUUCGGAAUUAUUGGGCGUAAAGGGCGCGUAGGCGGUGCGGUAAGUCACCUGUGAAAUCUCCUGGCUCAACUGGGAGCUUGCAGGCGAAACUGCCGUGCUGGAGUGUGGGAGAGGUGAGUGGAAUUCCCGGGUGUAGCGGUGAAAUGCGCAGAUAUCAGGAGGAACACCGAUGGCGAAGGCAGCCCCCUGGGUCAAGACUGACGCUCAUGCACGAAAGCGUGGGGAGCAAAC
rnacentral:rRNA from 1 species